rnacentral:rRNA from 1 species
CCAAUAGCGUAUAUUAAAGUUGUUGCAGUUAAAAAGCUCGUAGUUGAAUUUCGGGAUUCUAUCGUUGGUCGGGCUAUUGUCUGUACUGGCGUGUAGAAUUUCUACCUUCUGGGGAACUAUCAUGUUAUUAAUUUAGCGUGGUAGGAAACCAGGACCUUUACCUUGAAAAAAUUAGAGUGUUCAAAGCAGGCUUAUGUCUGAAUACAUUAGCAUGGAAUAAUAAAAUAGGACGGUGGUCCUGUUUUGUUGGUUUCUGAAUCACCGUAAUGAUUAAUAGGGAUAGUUGGGGGCAUUAGUAUUCAAUUGUCAGAGGUGAAAUUCUUGGAUUUAUUGAAGACUAACUACUGCGAAAGCAUUUGCCAAGGAUGUUUUCAUUAAUCAAGAACGAAAGUUAGGGGAUCGAAGACGAUCAGAUACCGUCGUAGUCUUAACCAUAAACUAUGCCGACUAGGGAUCGGACGAUGUUAACUUUUCUUGACUCGUUCGGCGCCUUAC